AGAGGCAGAACCCGGCGCCUCCGCCAUGGCCUGGACCGCUCUCCUGCUCCCCCUCCUCACUCUUGGCUCAGGCUCCGUGGCCUCCUACGAGCUGACCCAGUCAUCUUCCUUGUCGGUGGCCUCGGGAGAGACGGCCAGGAUCACCUGCACUGGAGAUUUAGUCGAUAAAAGAUAUACUCACUGGUACCAGCAGAAGCCCGGCCAGGUCCCUGUGCUGGUCAUUUAUAAGGAUAGCGAGCGGCCCUCGGGGAUCCCUGAGCGAUUCUCCGGCUCCAGCUCAGGGAAGACUGUCACUCUGACCAUCAGCGGGGCCCAGGCUGAGGACGAAGCCGACUAUUACUGUCAGUCAUCUGAGAGCAAUGAUAGUGCUCACAGUGACACAGGCAGACGGGGAAUCUUUGAGCAGCUGCCACCACCUCCCUACUUUGACCCCAUGCCAGUGGCCAGCAUCAGUGAGAGGCAGUCCCUGAGCGCCCUGUCCCCAGACCACUCGCCAGAACACCGCACCCUAGAGAUGUGUCCAGUGGCUCUUCAGGUGGGCCCCAACCCUUCAUCCUCCCUAUGA